AUUGAACGCUGGCGGAAUGCUUUACACAUGCAAGUCGAACGGUAGAGGGGGCAACCCCUCGAGAGUGGCGAACGGGUGAGUAAUAUAUCGGAACGUGCCCAGUCGUGGGGGAUAACGUAGCGAAAGGUACGCUAAUACCGCAUACGAUCUAAGGAUGAAAGCGGGGGAUCGCAAGACCUCGCGCGAUUGGAGCGGCCGAUAUCAGAUGAGGUAGUUGGUGGGGUAAAGGCUCACCAAGCCAAUGAUCUGUAGCUGGUCUGAGAGGACGACCAGCCACACUGGAACUGAGACACGGUCCAGACUCCUACGGGAGGCAGCAGUGGGGAAUUUUGGACAAUGGACGCAAGUCUGAUCCAGCCAUUCCGCGUGCAGGAUGAAGGCACUCGGGUUGUAAACUGCUUUUGUACGGAACGAAAAGGUCUCUCUUAAUACGGGGGGCUCAUGACGGUACCGUAAGAAUAAGCACCGGCUAACUACGUGCCAGCCGCCGCAGUAA
rnacentral:rRNA from 1 species